UUUAAGUGCAGUUACGGGUUUCCAUAUUCAACGUUUGACCGUCCGUCUUACUUGAAAUAUUUUUAUGAUUAGUAUUUCUUUUGUUAUUAAAUGAUAAAACAUAAAUAGUACUUUAUCCGUGACUUAUUUUUAGUUUUUUUAUAAUUUUUAAAUAAGAUGGACAGUCAAACAUUGGACACAAAAACCUACAAUUAUACUUAAA
rfam:Oryza sativa (indica cultivar-group) chromosome 9, whole genome shotgun sequence.